CGACCCGCGACCCGUGGGCAUGACAUGCUGGGCUCGGGGGGCACCGGGGCGAUCUCGCGCCCCCCCCUCGAACGGCAGGGAGACACUCGUGCCUUCCUGCCGAACAACGUACCCCGGCGCGGUCCGCGCCAAGGAACAUGAACGAAAGAGUGCCUCCGGUCGCCUCGGAAACGCUGCGCGCACCGGAGGCGAAUCUUGUCUAGAACCAUAACGACUCUCGGCAACGGAUAUCUCGGCUCUCGCAUCGAUGAAGAACGUAGCGAAAUGCGAUACUUGGUGUGAAUUGCAGAAUCCCGUGAACCAUCGAGUCUUUGAACGCAAGUUGCGCCCGAGGCCUCCUGGUCGAGGGCACGUCUGCCUGGGUGUCACGCAUCGUCGCCCCCGCUCCCCUCGGCUCACGAGGGCGGGGGCGGAUACUGGUCUCCCGCGCGCUCCCGCUCGCGGCUGGCCCAAAAUCGAGUCCCCGGCGACGGUCGCCACGACGAGCGGUGGUUGAGAGACCCUCGGACACUGUCGUGCGCGCGCCCGUCGCCCCCGGGAUCUCCUGGACCCUCGGGCAUCGACCUUCUAGGAUGCUCUCGUUGCGACCCCAGGUCAGGCGGGACUACCCGCUGAG
rnacentral:rRNA from 1 species